rnacentral:rRNA from 1 species
GAUGAACGCUGGCGGCGUGCCUAAUACAUGCAAGUCGAACGAUAAGGCGAGGAGCUUGCUCGUCUGGCGUUAGAGGCGGACGGGUGAGUAACGCGUGGGUAACCUACCUAUAAGAAAGGGAUAAAUUCGGGAACCAAUAGCUAAUACCGGAUAAUAUUUUAAACCGCAUGGCUCAAUAGUGAAAGCGGGUUUUGCUGCCAAUUAUAGAUGAGUCAGCGCCGCAUUAGCUAGUUGAGAAGGUAACGGCUUACCAAGGGGACGGAGCGUAGCCGCCCUGAGAGGGGGAUCGGCCACACGGGAACUGAGACACGCCCCAGACUCCUACGGGAGGCAGCAGGGGGGAAUCUGGCGCAAUGGGCGAAGCCCUGACGGAGCAACGCCGCGUGAGGGAGAAAGGUCUUCGGAUCGUAAAUCUCUGUUAUUAGGAAAGAACAAAUGUGUAUGUAACUAUGCACUUCUGACCGUAACCUAAUCAGAAGGCCACGGCAAAUAACUG